rnacentral:tRNA from 1 species
AUCAGCAUAGUUUAAUAAAACACUUGUUUUACACACAAGAGAUGAGCGAAAAGCCCUACUGUUA